rnacentral:rRNA from 1 species
UUGCUUUCUUGCUGACGAGUGGCGGACGGGUGAGUAAUGCUUGGGAAUCUGGCUUAUGGAGGGGGAUAACGACGGGAAACUGUUGCUAAUACCGCGUAUUAUCGGAAGAUGAAAGUGCGGGACUGAGAGGCCGCAUGCCAUAGGAUGAGUCCAAGUGGGAUUAGGUAGUUGGUGGGGUAAAGGCCUACCAAGCCUGCGAUCUCUAGCUGGUCUGAGAGGAUGACCAGCCACACUGGAACUGAGACACGGUCCAGACUCCUACGGGAGGCAGCAGUGGGGAAUAUUGCGCAAUGGGGGGAACCCUGACGCAGCCAUGCCGCGUGAAUGAAGAAGGCCUUAGGGUUGUAAAGUUCUUUCGGUAUUGAGGAAGGUUGAUGUGUUAAUAGCACAUCAAAUUGACGUUAAAUACAGAAGAAGCACCGGCUAACUCCGUGCCAGCAGCCGCGGUAAUACGGAGGGUGCGAGCGUUAAUCGGAAUAACUGGGCGUAAAGGGCACGCAGGCGGUUAUUUAAGUGAGGUGUGAAAGCCCCGGGCUUAACCUGGGAAUUGCAUUUCAGACUGGGUAACUAGAGUACUUUAGGGAGGGGUAGAAUUCCACGUGUAGCGGUGAAAUGCGUAGAGAUGUGGAGGAAUACCGAAGGCGAAGGCAGCCCCUUGGGAAUGUACUGACGCUCAUGUGCGAAAGCGUGGGGAGCAAACAGGAUUAGAUACCCUGGUAGUCCACGCUGUAAACGCUGUCGAUUUGGGGGUUGGGGUUUAACUCUGGCGCCC